rnacentral:rRNA from 1 species
UACAGAGGGGGCAAGCGUUGUUCGGAAUUACUGGGCGUAAAGGGCUCGUAGGCGGCCAACUAAGUCAGACGUGAAAUCCCUGGGCUUAACCUGGGAACUGCAGUCGAUACUGGCGGACUAGAGUACGGUAGAGGGUGGCGGAACUCCGGGUGUAGCGGUGAAAUGCGUAGAUAUCCGGAAGAACACCGAUGGCGAAGGCAACCACCUGGGCCUGUACUGACGCUGAGACGCGAAAGCGUGGGGAGCGAACAGG